rnacentral:tRNA from 1 species
UCCGGCAUGGUGUAGCGGUUAGCAUACUCCGCUUUCAAAUAGAAGGUCCGGAGAGAUCCGAGUUCGAUUCUCGGUGUCGGAA